AUGCCAUGGUGAGGACAGGAAAGGAUGUAUUCCUGCAGUCUUUCCUAAGCUUCUGGGAUGGAUUCCAUCACCGUCUGCUAGAAACUUGAAAUUCUUCCUUGCAUGGCAU